UACGUAGGGUGCGAGCGUUGUCCGGAAUUAUUGGGCGUAAAGAGCUCGUAGGCGGUUUGUUGCGUCUAUCGUGAAAACCUGCAGCUUAACUGUGGGCUUGCGGUGGAUACGGGCAGACUUGAGUUCGGUAGGGGAGACUGGAAUUCCUGGUGUAGCGGUGAAAUGCGCAGAUAUCAGGAGGAACACCGGAGGCGAAGGCGGGUCUCUGGGCCGAUACUGACGCUGAGGAGCGAAAGCGUGGGGAGCGAACAGG
rnacentral:rRNA from 1 species